rnacentral:sRNA from 1 species
GUUCUGGGUUGUGGCGGCCCUGGAUCCGGCGUCAGGGCGACCGGGCGGACGAGGUGGAGCCAGAGUCUGUCAGGCGGGUUGCUGAAGGGCGCGGGGCCGGGCACGGCGUUGGGAGUGCGCGGCAGGGACCGGCCAGGCGGGCUGCAGGCACCUCAGAGCCCGGGACACCCCCUCAACGUCCGCAGGCGCGAUGAAGGCACUGAUCUUAGUGGGGGGCUAUGGGACGCGGCUACGGCCGCUGACGCUGAGCACCCCGAAGCCACUGGUGGACUUCUGCAAUAAGCCCAUCUUGCUGCACCAAGUGGAGGCGCUAGCCGCGGCAGGCGUGGACCACGUGAUCCUGGCCGUGAGCUACAUGUCGCAGGUGCUGGAGAAGGAAAUGAAGGCACAGGAGCAGAGGCUGGGAAUCCGAAUCUCCAUGUCCCAUGAAGAGGAGCCUUUGGGGACAGGUCAGUAGAGGCAGAAAGGUCCCUUGGGGGAGGGUUUAAGGCCAGGAAAAGGGUAAGACCCAGCCUGAACUGGGCCUGCUGAGCCUGAAUCCAGGGACUCAGACCUCCAGCAAGGUGGUGACCUGUCCCCUUCCCCCAGCUGGGCCCCUGGCGCUGGCCCGUGACCUACUCUCUGAGACUGCAGACCCUUUCUUCGUCCUCAACAGUGACGUGAUCUGCGAUUUCCCCUUCCAAGCCAUGGUGCAGUUCCACCGGCACCAUG